rnacentral:rRNA from 1 species
GAUGAACGCUGGCGGCGUGCUUAACACAUGCAAGUCGAACGGUGAAGCAGGAGCUUGCUCCUGUGGAUCAGUGGCGAACGGGUGAGUAACACGUGAGCAACCUGCCCCUGACUCUGGGACAAGCGCUGGAAACGGCGUCUAAUACUGGAUAUGUGAUGUGACCGCAUGGUCUGCAUCUGGAAAGAAUUUCGGUUGGGGAUGGGCUCGCGGCCUAUCAGCUUGUUGGUGAGGUAAUGGCUCACCAAGGCGUCGACGGGUAGCCGGCCUGAGAGGGGGACCGGCCACACUGGGACUGAGACACGGCCCAGACUCCUACGGGAGGCAGCAGUGGGAAAUAUUGCACAAUGGGCGGGAGCCUGAUGCAGCAACGCCGCGUGAGGGAUGACGGCCUUCGGGUUGUAAACCUCUUUUAGCAGAGAAGAAGCGAAAGUGACGGUACCUGCAGAAAAAGCACCGGCUAACUACGUGCCAGCAGCCGCCGUAA